AAAGAAACCAACAGGGAUUGCCUUAGUAACGGCGAGUGAAGCGGCAGAAGCUCAAAUUUGAAAUCUGGCACCUACCGGUGUCCGAGUUGUAAUUUGAAGAGGCAACUUUGGGAGGGUCCCGGUCUAUGUUCCUUGGAACAGGACAUCGCAGAGGGUGAGAAUCCCGUUCUCGGUCGGAUGUGGCCCUCCCUUACAAAAGUGUCUUCUACGAGUCGAGUUGUUUGGGAAUGCAGCUCAAAAUGGGUGGUAAAUUUCAUCUAAGGCUAAACAUUGGCGAGAGACCGAUAGCGCACAAGUAGAGUGAUCGAAAGAUGAAAAGCACUUUGAAAAUAGAGUCAAAAAGUACGUGAAAUUGUUGAAAGGGAAGCGCUUGAGACCAGACUCAGCGGUAGACAAACAGCUGCCCUUCUGGGUAGUGCACUUGUCUGCCGGUGGGCCAGCAUCGGUUGGGGUGGUGGGAUAAAGGCUAGGGCAAUGUGACUCCUCUGAGGAGUGUUAUAGGCCCGAGUGCAAUGC
rnacentral:rRNA from 1 species